AGCGAACGCUGGCGGCAGGCUUAACACAUGCCAGUCGAGCGGGCACUUUCGGGUGUCCGCGGCGGACGGGUGAGUAACGCGUGGGAACGUGCCCUCUGGUUCGGAAUAACUCAGGGAAACUUGAGCUAAUACCGGAUACGCCCUUUUGGGGAAAGGCUUGCUGCCGGAGGAUCGGCCCGCGUCUGAUUAGCUAGUUGGUGAGGUAACGGCUCACCAAGGCGACGAUCAGUAGCUGGUCUGAGAGGAUGAUCAGCCACACUGGGACUGAGACACGGCCCAGACUCCUACGGGAGGCAGCAGUGGGGAAUAUUGGACGAUGGGCGCAAGCCUGAUCCAGCCAUGCCGCGUGAGUGAUGAAGGCCUUAGGGUUGUAAAGCUCUUUUAUCCGGGACGAUAAUGACGGUACCGGAGGAAUAAGCCCCGGCUAACUUCGUG
rnacentral:rRNA from 1 species